rnacentral:rRNA from 1 species
CCUACGGGAGGCAGCAGUGGGGAAUAUUGCACAAUGGGGGAAACCCUGAUGCAGCGACGCCGCGUGAGUGAAGAAGUAUUUCGGUAUGUAAAGCUCUAUCAGCAGGGAAGAGAAUGACGGUACCUGAGUAAGAAGCCCCGGCUAACUACGUGCCAGCAGCCGCGGUAAUACGUAGGGGGCAAGCGUUAUCCGGAUUUACUGGGUGUAAAGGGAGCGUAGACGGCGAAGAAAGUCUGAAGUGAAAGCCCGCGGCUUAACCGCGGAACUGCUUUGGAAACUUUUUUGCUGGAGUACCGGAGAGGUAGGCGGAAUGCCUAGUGUAGCGGUGAAAUGCGUAGAUAUUCGGAGGAACACCGGUGGCGAAGGCGGCUUACUGGACGGUAACUGACGUUGAGGCUCGAAAGCGUGGGGAGCAAACAGGAUUAGAUACCCGAGUAGUC